AUUUGUUCCCUUCAGGUGUCUGCCACUGCAGUUGAUGUUGAGACAACUCUCAGUCUUCCUGCAAGUCCUCGCCUGAUACCUGUUUUAAGGGCAUCACACCAACAUUUGCAAUUGGACUUGCUGCUAUGUUUGCAACCUACUACAUUUUCAGCCUUCAGUAUCAAGAUGAGACAGCCUGCCCUGUGGAAUUCAAAAUUAAUGUGUUUGCGCUUCAUUGAUAUAAAUCCAGAGAGAGGGACAAAUGCCAAAAUCAUCAAGCAAGGUUGUCUCUAAGAAGAAAGGUGUGAUGGUCCAGAAGUCGUCUUCUGCAGUCAAAUACACAUGUGGCCAUACUACUGAAGAAUCUCCUUGACUUUUUAAUGGAACUUCAUAUAGAUCUUGGCAGCACUGGAAUAAUGCUGCAGAGAGGAACAGCGGCUAUCAAAGUGAUGAUCGUCUCUUCAUCCACAAGAACUAAGAUGUAAAAACACAAACCUACCUCACAGGACAAUUUUAAGAGGUAACCUGCAAGUCUAGCUUGCAGUGGCAUAGGUGCCUACCCUACGGUUUCAUCCUUAAUGUUUUUAUGCAUGUUAUUGAUACAUCCUGACAAAAUGUUCUACUGUACUAUAAUAGUUUCAAAAUGGCCUUAGGUAUGUUUUCAAACUUAUGUCUUAAAUAAAAAAGUAAACUAUAGGUUAUGCCCUUCACAUUUGGUAAGG